AGACAGGUGGUCAGACAGACAGACAGCAGACAGACAGACAGGUGGUCAGACAGACAGGUAGCAGACAGACAGACAGGUAGCUGACAGACAGACAGAUGGCAGGCAGACAGACAGGUGGUCAGACAGACAGACAGGUAGCAGACAGACAGA